CCCUUAGAUGUUCUGGGCCGCACGCGCGCUACACUGAUGCAUUCAACGAGUCCAACCUUGACCGAGAGGUCCGGGUAAUCUUUGAAACUGCAUCGUGAUGGGGCUAGAUUAUUGCAAUUAUUAAUCUUCAACGAGGAAUGCCUAGUAAGCGUGAUUCAUCAAAUCGCGUUGAUUACGUCCCUGCCCUUUGUACACACCGCCCGUCGCUCCUACCGAUUGAGUGUGUUGGUGAGGAGUUUGGAUUGGCCUCGGAAGGUGGUUCGCCACCGUCCGUAGCUGAGAAGUUCUCCAAACCACCCCACUUAGAGGAAGGAGAAGUCGUAACA
rnacentral:rRNA from 1 species